GAUGAACGCUGGCGGCGUGCCUAAUACAUGCAAGUCGUACGGAAAGGCCCUUCGGGGUACUCGAGUGGCGGACGGCUGAGUAACGCGUGGGAACGUGCCCCAAAGUGAGGGAUAACGCACCGAAAGGUGUGCUAAUACCGCAUAUGGUCUUCGGAUUAAAGCUUCGGCGCUUUGGGAGCGGCCCGCGUACGAUUAGAUAGUUGGUGAGGUAAUGGCUCACCAAGUCGACGAUCGUUAGCUGGUCUGAGAGGAUGAUCAGCCAGACUGGGACUGAGACACGGCCCAGACUCCUACGGGAGGCAGCAGUAAGGAAUCUUCCACAAUGGGGGCAACCCUGAUGGAGCAACGCCGCGUGCAGGAUGAAGGUUUUCGGAUCGUAAACUGCUUUCAUAAGUGAAGAAUAUGACGGUAACUUAUGAAUAAGGAUCGGCUAACUACGUGCCAGCCGCCGCGGUAAAAC
rnacentral:rRNA from 1 species